rnacentral:rRNA from 1 species
UGGGGAAUAUUGGGGCAAUGGGGGAAAGCCCAUGACCCACGCAACGCCGCGUGAAGGAAGAAGGCUUUCGGGUUGUAAACAUUCUUUUAUCCACGGGAGCGAAGGACGUGACGGUACCUGGAGAAAAAGCAACGGCUAACUCCGUGCCAGCAGCCGCGGUAAUACGUAGGUUGCGAGCGUUGUCCGGAUUUACUGGGUGUAAAGGGCGUGUAGGCGGAGAAGCAAGUUGGGAGUGAAAUCUAUGGGCUCAACCCAUAAACUGCUCUCAAAACUGUGCCCCUUGAGUAUCGGAGAGGCAAGCGGAAUUCCUAGUGUAGCGGUGAAAUGCGUAGAUAUUAGGAGGAACACCAGUGGCGAAGGCGGCUUGCUGGACGACAACUGACGCUGAGGCGCGAAAGCGUGGGGAGCAAACAGGAUUAGAUACC